rnacentral:rRNA from 1 species
AACGAACGCUGGCGGCAUGCCUAACACAUGCAAGUCGAACGAACCCUUCGGGGUUAGUGGCGCACGGGUGCGUAACACGUGGGAAUCUGCCCUUUGCUUCGGAAUAACAGUUAGAAAUGACUGCUAAUACCGGAUAAUGUCUUCGGACCAAAGAUUUAUCGGCAAAGGAUGAGCCCGCGUAGGAUUAGCUUGUUGGUGAGGUAAAGGCUCACCAAGGCGACGAUCCUUAGCUGGUCUGAGAGGAUGAUCAGCCACACUGGGACUGAGACACGGCCCAGACUCCUACGGGAGGCAGCAGUGGGGAAUAUUGGACAAUGGGCGCAAGCCUGAUCUAGCCAUGCCGCGUGAGCGAUGAAGGCCUUAGGGUUGUAAAGCUCUUUCGUGGGGGAAGAUAAUGACUGUACCCAAGAAGAAGCCCCGGCUAACUCCGUGCCAGCAGCCGCGGUAAUG